rnacentral:rRNA from 1 species
GACGAACGCUGGCGGCGUGCUUAACACAUGCCAGUCGAACGGAAAGGCCCUGCUUUUGUGGGGUGCUCGAGUGGCGAACGGGUGAGUAACACGUGAGUAACCUGCCCUUGACUUUGGGAUAACUUCAGGAAACUGGGGCUAAUACCGGAUAGGAGCUCCUGCUGCAUGGUGGGGGUUGGAAAGUUUCGGCGGUUGGGGAUGGACUCGCGGCUUAUCAGCUUGUUGGUGGGGUAGUGGCUUACCAAGGCUUUGACGGAUAGCCGGCCUGAGAGGGUGACCGGCCACAAUGGGACUGCGAGACGGCGCAGACUCCUACGGGAGGCAGCAGUGGGGAAUAUUGCACAAUGGGCGGAAGCCUGAUGCAGCAACGCCGCGUGCGGGAUGACGGCCUUCGGGUUGUAAACCGAUUUCGCCUGUGACGAAGCGUGAGUGACGGUAAUGGGUAAAGAAGCACCGGCUAACUACGUG